rnacentral:tRNA from 1 species
GGCAGGGUAGCUCAGUGGUUAGAGCAGGGGCUUCAUAAGCCCUGUGUCGCGGGUUCGACCCCCGCCCCUGCCACCA